GUUUGUGGCAUUACAAAUUUAAACAAACAAUAAACAAUAAAAUAAAACAAGAGCCUGUGUCACUCACCUGAUUCUAUUUGGGAUUUUGAAAUAAUAUUAAAAAAUAUAAAAAAUUGUAACAGAUACUUAUAAUGAUGUUAUAGGCCAAUUUUGGUUUAAUAUUGUGAUGUUUGGUUUCAUUUUAUUCAGUAGUUCUCUUAAAGAAGAUGUAUUUCCUAUAGGGAACCAUGUUAAAUCUAAGCCCCCGUCUGGCGGCCAUCUUGGAUAAUGGAUCGGGUACAAAGUAACAACACUUGGUCAGCACCUCAUAAAGAACAUACAUGCCAUGUUUAAUUUCAUUCCAUUAAGUGCUUUUAUAACAGAAGACAUUUGUAUAUAUUUCCCAUAGGGUACUGUGUUUAACAGAGUCCCCCCGCUGGCGGCCAUCUUUGAUGAUGGAUCAGCUACAAAGUGACAACACUUGGUCAGCAUCUCAUCAGGAACAUUCAUGCUAUGUUUGGUUUCAUUCUAUUCGGUGGUUCUCUAAAAGAAGACAUUUGUAUGUAUUUCCUAUAGGGACCCAUGUUAAACUUAGUCCCCCCUGGCGGCCAUCUUGGAUGAUGGAUCGACCACAAAGUAACAACACUUGGUCAGCAUCUCAUAAGGAGCAUUCAUGCUAUGUUUGGUUUCAAUCCAUUCAGUGGUUCUCUGAGAGAGGACAUUUGUAUGUAUUUCCCAUAGGGUCCUAUGUUAAACUAAGUCCCCUGCUGGCGGCCAUCUUGGAUGAUGGAUCGGAUACAAAGUAACAACACUUUGUCAGCACCUCAUAAGGAACAUUCAUGCCAUGUUUGGUUUCAUUCCAUUCAGUGGUUCUCUAAAAGAAGACAUCUGUAUGUAUUUCCUAUAGGGUCCCAUGUUAAACUAAAUCCCCCUGGCAGCCAUCUUGGAUGAUGGAUCGACCAUAAAGUAACAACACUUGGUCAGCAACUCAUCAGGAACAUUCAUGCUAUGUUUGGUUUCAUUCUAUUUGGUGGUUCUCUAAAAGAAGACAUUUGUAUGUAUUUCCUAUAGGGUCCCAUGUUAAACUAAGUCCCCCCUGGCGGCCAUCUUGGAUGAUGGAUCGACCACAAAGUAACAACACUUGGUCAGCAUCUCAUAAGGAGCAUUCAUGCUAUGUUUGGUUUCAAUCCAUUCAGUGGUUCUCUAAGAGAGGACAUUUGUAUCUAUUUCCCAUAGGGUCCUAUGUUAAACUAAGUCCCCUGCUGGCGGCCAUCUUGGAUGAUGGAUCGGCUACAAAGUAACAACACUUUGUCAGCACCUCAUAAGGAACAUUCAUGCCAUGUUUGGUUUCAUUGCAUUCAGUGGUUCUCUAAAAGAAGACAUCUGUAUGUAUUUCCCAUAGGGUCCUAUGUUAAACUAAGUCCCCCGCUGGCGGCCAUCUUGGAUUAUGGAUCGACUACAAAGUAACAACACUUGGUCAGCACCUCAUAAGGAACGUUCACGCCAUGUUUGGUUUCGUUCAAUUCAGUGGUUCUCUAGAAGAAGUUCAAAAUGUAAAAAGUUGACGACAACGACGAUAUAAUACACAAAACCAUAAGUAGUAAAUUUAUAAUAUUAUAAUAUUCAUAAUAUUCAAUAUCCA
rnacentral:lncRNA from 1 species